AAUGUUGCAAGAAUGAAAUGGAUGUCGUGGACUCUUGACCUCGAGGGUCAGAUCCCUUCAGAGGUGGCUGAGAUGAUCCAUACACAUUAAGCAAAAAAUUCCAGCUGGAGUGAACUCAGAGCACUGGGGUGCUUAUUCAUGGUGUUAAAUUGCCCUGUAUGGAUGCCUACAAAGCAGAACGUUCCUCACUGCCUGCACAAGUAAAACAGGAGCUUCACUUGGCACAAAUGAAUUUUUAAGAGCAGAGAAGCUACUGUCGUAUUCAACUGGACUCAGCCUGUCUCCACUGCUAUACCAGGGAUGCGAAGUAGCUGCCACUUGGACUGGCUGUGUUGG